rnacentral:rRNA from 1 species
UACGUAGGGUGCAAGCGUUGUCCGGAAUUAUUGGGCGUAAAGAGCUCGUAGGCGGUUUGUCGCGUCUGCUGUGAAAACUCGGGGCUUAACCCCGGGCCUGCAGUGGGUACGGGCAGACUAGAGUUCGGUAGGGGAGUCUGGAAUUCCUGGUGUAGCGGUGAAAUGCGCAGAUAUCAGGAGGAACACCGGUGGCGAAGGCGGGUCUCUGGGCCGUAACUGACGCUGAGGAGCGAAAGCAUGGGGAGCGAACAGG